UAAGUGAUUUCAUCCAGUAGUUCGCUCUCGAAUGUCCCAACAAAGCGAACGCGUACGUCGAGAGAACCGAAGCGUAUAAAUCUUCGUUAGUGUUGUUCAUUCCAUUUUCCACGCAAUUCAACGUUUUAUAAAGUUGCGGUGUCGGGUACAAUAUUCCAAAUUCAAUAAGGGAGAUUAGAAUGAGAGCAAUAAUGAAUGUAUAUCAACGUCAGAGGAAAGAACCUUCAUCGCCUUGUGGAACACUCUGCCUAUCACGGGGAAACAGCCAUUUUCCAGUUGUUUAUUCAUUAACCAGCUGGCGGAUAGCGAAAAGUCAUGCUCGUCGAUGUAAAUUAGACCACGAGCUUGGACGAAUGAUUUUAAGACGAACGCCGUUAACCAUAUCGAGCCUUCGGAUUCUGAGCUCUGCCAUCCGAAUGCCGAAUAGGAGCCAUCCGGAUGUCUAUAAUUCAGCUCCCUCUGAUAUCCUUUAUCGGCAAACGAGUGAAACGGUUAAUGAUGUUCAAUUAGCAAUACCAGUAUAAGUCAAUUAUUUCGAACAUUUAAGGACAUAAUCGAAUCUACGAAUGAUUUAGAUAAAAGAAAAUGAAG